ensembl:processed_transcript
ACUUGGCAGCUUCUCCGCGCUGGAAAAGUCGUUGCUGGGCGACGCUCGCAGCAACGCGUUCCUAGGAUGUCCGUGCGCGUCCGCAGCUUGCGGUCUGGGCGCUGCUUUGUGAACAGCACUGGAUGCGGAGUCCGAGUGCGCUUGAGCCCCAGGACAGGGACAGGGGCGCCGGACUACUACGCAGGGCUCUCGGAAGUGAGUUCUCAGGGGUCUGGAACCUCUGCCCCUUGACGUCACCAGGAGGUAGUCCUGGAAACGGGGAUACUGAGAUGGAGAGGCUUGAGCGCUGCCGCAAAGGAAAAACCAGACGCAGACACGAGAAAUUCUGUGCUGUCUGGGACGCAGGAGGAGGAGAGUCCUCGUCACUGGGAGCCCAGCUCCGCCGCUCCUGCCCGGAUGCUCGGUGGUCCGCAGAAAGCUCCCUUCUUAGUCGCUGACUCAGGACUAUGAUGGCAGUGGCACUCAGAGGUGGCUUAAUUCGUCUUUUGCUCGCAGAUCUCUUAGCCACCCUUCCCUGCCCGCUCUGUGAUGUACAGAAUGCGGACACACUCACUCCCUGUACAAAUGGUACCUGCUGGAGCUCAGCCAGUUGAAGCCAACGAUGGAAACUGCAAAUUCUCGGCUUCAGCCUCUAACAAGCCGAGACUCUCAACACCUCAGCUCUCAGCCCAUUCUUAGCUCCAGCCUAUUUUGUACCACCCACACAGAUGAUGCUCCAUCAGAAGGUCUAGAAUAAGGCCAUAGUGACUAACGUCAGUCAUUCCUCGUGUUUCUUCCACCCUGGGGCCAGUAGCUAACCUUCAGGUGAUCCACUUUUCUGUUUCCAUCAUCCAUGUAGCCAGAGCUCAGUCCUCAGUCCCUGUAGUCUGUUUUGUUGAGUGGUCCUAGCACUGCCCUUGGUAAUAAGAGUGAUCCCAGCAAGAAGUCUUAAGGUGGCUUUCUGGACUGAGCACUCACACAUUUAAUUGCAGAUGUAUUGACAGUUAUUUGAGGGUGGCCAAUGAGCCAGGAAAAGCCAGAGCGGUUUGCUUUUCUGUGUGGCUAUUUGAAGUGAAAUGUCAGCAGAUAGAUGAAAACACUUAGAAAGUAGCUGCUCCAGCAGGUGUUCGGAUAGCAAGUAACACAAUCUUGACAACAGAAGCUGAUGUCACCAAGUCAGGUGACUUGAGUUCCCCAGAACCCACAUAGUAGGAGAAAAGCAACUACCUCAGUUGGUCCACUGACCUCCACAUGUUUGGUCACACCAUACAAAAUGAAGUCAAUCAAGUUUGGACAUUGUAAGUCAACUAAGCCAGUGAC